rnacentral:rRNA from 1 species
UACGUAGGGUGCGAGCGUUAAUCGGAAUUACUGGGCGUAAAGCGUGCGCAGGCGGCUUUGCAAGACAGAUGUGAAAUCCCCGGGCUUAACCCGGGAACUGCAUUUGUGACUGCAUGGCUAGAGUGCGGCAGAGGGGAAUGGAAUUCCGCGUGUAGCAGUGAAAUGCGUAGAUAUGCGGAGGAACACCGAUGGCGAAGGCAAUCCCCUGGGCCUGCACUGACGCUCAUGCGCGAAAGCGUGGGGAGCAAACAGG